UUCGACACACUAUCAUUAACUGAAUCCAUAGGUUAAUGAGGCGAACCGGGGGAACUGAAACAUCUAAGUACCCCGAGGAAAAGAAAUCAACCGAGAUUCCCCCAGUAGCGGCGAGCGAACGGGGAGCAGCCCAGAGCCUGAAUCAGUGUGUGUGUUAGUGGAAGCGUCUGGAAAGGCGCGCGAUACAGGGUGACAGCCCCGUACACAAAAAUGCACAUGCUGUGAGCUCGAUGAGUAGGGCGGGACACGUGGUAUCCUGUCUGAAUAUGGGGGGACCAUCCUCCAAGGCUAAAUACUCCUGACUGACCGAUAGUGAACCAGUACCGUGAGGGAAAGGCGAAAAGAACCCCGGCGAGGGGAGUGAAAAAGAACCUGAAACCGUGUACGUACAAGCAGUGGGAGCACGCUUAGGCGUGUGACUGCGUACCUUUUGUAUAAUGGGUCAGCGACUUAUAUUCUGUAGCAAGGUUAACCGAAUAGGGGAGCCGAAGGGAAACCGAGUCUUAACUGGGCGUUAAGUUGCAGGGUAUAGACCCGAAACCCGGUGAUCUAGCCAUGGGCAGGUUGAAGGUUGGGUAACACUAACUGGAGGACCGAACCGACUAAUGUUGAAAAAUUAGCGGAUGACUUGUGGCUGGGGGUGAAAGGCCAAUCAAACCGGGAGAUAGCUGGUUCUCCCCGAAAGCUAUUUAGGUAGCGCCUCGUGAAUUCAUCUCCGGGGGUAGAGCACUGUUUCGGCAAGGGGGUCAUCCCGACUUACCAACCCGAUGCAAACUGCGAAUACCGGAGAAUGUUAUCACGGGAGACACACGGCGGGUGCUAACGUCCGUCGUGAAGAGGGAAACAACCCAGACCGCCAGCUAAGGUCCCAAAGUCAUGGUUAAGUGGGAAACGAUGUGGGAAGGCCCAGACAGCCAGGAUGUUGGCUUAGAAGCAGCCAUCAUUUAAAGAAAGCGUAAUAGCUCACUGGUCGAGUCGGCCUGCGCGGAAGAUGUAACGGGGCUAAACCAUGCACCGAAGCUGCGGCAGCGACACUAUGUGUUGUUGGGUAGGGGAGCGUUCUGUAAGCCUGUGAAGGUGUACUGUGAGGUAUGCUGGAGGUAUCAGAAGUGCGAAUGCUGACAUAAGUAACGAUAAAGCGGGUGAAAAGCCCGCUCGCCGGAAGACCAAGGGUUCCUGUCCAACGUUAAUCGGGGCAGGGUGAGUCGACCCCUAAGGCGAGGCCGAAAGGCGUAGUCGAUGGGAAACAGGUUAAUAUUCCUGUACUUGGUGUUACUGCGAAGGGGGGACGGAGAAGGCUAUGUUGGCCGGGCGACGGUUGUCCCGGUUUAAGCGUGUAGGCUGGUUUUCCAGGCAAAUCCGGAAAAUCAAGGCUGAGGCGUGAUGACGAGGCACUACGGUGCUGAAGCAACAAAUGCCCUGCUUCCAGGAAAAGCCUCUAAGCAUCAGGUAACAUCAAAUCGUACCCCAAACCGACACAGGUGGUCAGGUAGAGAAUACCAAGGCGCUUGAGAGAACUCGGGUGAAGGAACUAGGCAAAAUGGUGCCGUAACUUCGGGAGAA
rnacentral:rRNA from 1 species